UACGAAGGGGGCUAGCGUUGCUCGGAAUCACUGGGCGUAAAGGGCGCGUAGGCGGCCAUUCAAGUCGGGGGUGAAAGCCCAGGGCUCAACCCUGGAAUUGCCUUCGAUACUGUUUGGCUAGAGACCGGAAGAGGUAAGUGGAACUGCGAGUGUAGAGGUGAAAUUCGUAGAUAUUAGGAAGAACACCAGUGGCGAAGGCGGCUCACUGGCUCGGUACUGACGCUGAGGCGCGAAAGCGUGGGGAGCAAACAGG
rnacentral:rRNA from 1 species